UACGUAGGGUGCAAGCGUUAAUCGGAAUUACUGGGCGUAAAGCGUGCGCAGGCGGCUUUGCAAGUCAGAUGUGAAAUCCCCGGGCUCAACCUGGGAACUGCAUUUGUGACUGCAAGGCUAGAGUACGGCAGAGGGGGAUGGAAUUCCGCGUGUAGCAGUGAAAUGCGUAGAUAUGCGGAGGAACACCGCUGGCGAAGGCAAUCCCCUGGGCCUGUACUGACGCUCAUGCACGAAAGCGUGGGGAGCAAACAGG
rnacentral:rRNA from 1 species